rnacentral:hammerhead_ribozyme from 1 species
AUCCAGCUGACGAGUUCCAAACAGGACGAAACUCGAGUUCUGGAU